UACGUAGGGUGCAAGCGUUAAUCGGAAUUACUGGGCGUAAAGGGCGCGUAGGCGGUUCGUUAAGUCCUGUGUGAAAUCCCCGGGCUCAACCUGGGAACUGCAUCCGGGACUGCAUUGCUAGAGUAUGGGAGAGGGAAGCGGAAUUUCUGGUGUAGCAGUGAAAUGCGUAGAUAUCAGAAGGAACAUCAGUGGCGAAGGCGGCUUCCUGGACCAAUACUGACGAUCAGGUGCGAAAGCGUGGGGAGCAAACAGG
rnacentral:rRNA from 1 species